rnacentral:rRNA from 1 species
AGGCUGAGACCUGAUGCCGAGCCGAUUGUGGUGAAGUGGAUGAUCCUAUGCUGUCGAGAAAAGCCUCUAGCGAGUUUCAUGGCGGCCCGUACCCUAAACCGACUCAGGUGGUCAGGUAGAGAAUACCGAGGCGUUCGGGUGAACUAUGGUUAAGGAACUCGGCAAAAUGCCCCCGUAACUUCGGGAGAAGGGGGGCCAUCACCGGUGAUAGCACUUGCUGCUUGAGCUGGGGGUGGCCGCAGAGACCAGCGAGAAGCGACUGUUUACUAAAAACACAGGUCCGUGCGAAGCCGUAAGGCGAUGUAUACGGACUGACGCCUGCCCGGUGCUGGAACGUUAAGGGGACCGGUUAGUCACUCUUCGGGGUGGCGAAGCUGAGAACUUAAGCGCCAGUAAACGGCGGUGGUAACUAUAACCAUCCUAAGGUAGCGAAAUUCCUUGUCGGGUAAGUUCCGACCUGCACGAAUGGCGUAACGACUUCUCGACUGUCUCAACCAUAGGCCCGGUGAAAUUGCACUACGAGUAAAGAUGCUCGUUUCGCGCAGCAGGACGGAAAGACCCCGGGACCUUUACUACAGUUUGAUAUUGGUGUUCGGUUCGGCUUGUGUAGGAUAGCUGGGAGACUGUGAAGCUCGGACGCCAGUUCGGGUGGAGUCGUCGUUGAAAUACCAGUCUGGUCGUGCUGGAUGUCUAACCUGGGUCCGUGAUCCGGAUCAGGGACAGUGUCUGAUGGGUAGUUUAACUGGGGCGGUUGCCUCCCAAAGGGUAACGGAGGCGCCCAAAGGUUCCCUCAGCCUGGUUGGCAAUCAGGUGGUGAGUGUAAGUGCACAAGGGAGCUUGACUGUGAGACCGACGGGUCGAGCAGGGACGAAAGUCGGGACUAGUGAUCCGGCGGUGGCUUGUGGAAGCGCCGUCGCUCAACGGAUAAAAGGUACCCCGGGGAUAACAGGCUGAUCUUCCCCAAGAGUCCAUAUCGACGGGAUGGUUUGGCACCUCGAUGUCGGCUCGUCGCAUCCUGGGGCUGGAGUCGGUCCCAAGGGUUGGGCUGUUCGCCCAUUAAAGCGGUACGCGAGCUGGGUUUAGAACGUCGUGAGACAGUUCGGUCCCUAUCCGCUGCGCGCGCAGGAAUAUUGAGAAGGGCUGUCCCUAGUACGAGAGGACCGGGACGGACGAACCUCUGGUGUGCCAGUUGUUCUGCCAAGGGCAUGGCUGGUUGGCUACGUUCGGGAGGGAUAACCGCUGAAAGCAUCUAAGCGGGAAGCCUGCUUCGAGAUGAGUAUUCCCACCCACUUGAUGGGGUAAGGCUCCCAGUAGACGACUGGGUUGAUAGGCCAGAUAUGGAAGCCCAGUAAUGGGUGGAGUUGACUGGUACUAAUAGGCCGAGGGCUUGUCCU